rnacentral:rRNA from 1 species
GAACGAGAGCGACCGGUGCUUGCACUGGUCAAUCUAGUGGCGAACGGGUGAGUAACACGUGGGUAACCUGCCCAUCAGAGGGGGAUAACAUUCGGAAACGGAUGCUAAAACCGCAUAGGUCUUCGAACCGCAUGGUUUGAAGAGGAAAAGAGGCGCAAGCUUCUGCUGAUGGAUGGACCCGCGGUGCAUUAGCUAGUUGGUGAGGUAACGGCUCACCAAGGCCGUGAUGCAUAGCCGACCUGAGAGGGUGAUCGGCCACAUUGGGACUGAGACACGGCCCAAACUCCUACGGGAGGCAGCAGUAGGGAAUCUUCCGCAACGGACGCAAGUCUGACGGAGCAACGCCGCGUGAGUGAAGAAGGUUUUCGGAUCGUAAAACUCUGUUGUUAGAGAAGAACGAGUGCUAGAGUAACUGUUAGCGCCUUGACGGUAUCUAACCAGAAAGCCACGGCUAACUACGUGCCAGCAGCCGCGGUAAUACGUAGGUGGCAAGCGUUGUCCGGAUUUAUUGGGCGUAAAGCGAGCGCAGGCGGUUCCUUAAGUCUGAUGUGAAAGCCCCCGGCUCAACCGGGGAGGGUCAUUGGAAACUGGGGAACUUGAGUGCAGAAGAGGAGAGUGGAAUUCCAUGUGUAGCGGUGAAAUGCGUAGAUAUAUGGAGGAACACCAGUGGCGAAGGCGACUCUCUGGUCUGUAACUGACGCUGAGGCUCGAAAGCGUGGGUAGCAACCAGG